AAUGCGAGGUAAAGCCCCCAUGCAGUCUGUAUUUUAAAAUCAUGAAGCUCGUGAAUGAGGAUUGUUGCAGUUGUGUGGCAAGUAUACCAGACAGUGCAGUCAGCACUGAGUGGAAUAUCUUUUCAACGGACAAAUUGGCAAGGCGUUGUGUCUGGCCAAACACUAAUACUAGAGGGUGCAUGGUCCUGAGAGUCCUUCUCCCACCACCAAUAUACCGAAUGCAGGUACUAAAAAAAAACAUGAUCCUGAGAGGGUUUUUCACACCACCAGCGUAAUGAGUUGGAAAGAAGACUGCCCACCCAAGCAUUGAUGAGGCCUGAAAGUCAUAAUGUAGCGCUGGAACCAAUAUGGCUGAAUAUCUCUACCAGGUGACCAAAAGUGAGUUCGGACUCUCUGGAAUAUUGUAUCUACUCCCUGGCAUUCACCAUCAUGAAUGGACAGGCUCUGGAGCAGAAGACAUUAUGUUACGUUGUUGUUUUACACAAAUUCCUAUUGGAAAUUGAUACCUGGUAGGGGUUGUGGGUGUAGAGGGUAAAGUGUUUCCUUCUCUUCAGCCCAUUUCCUCAGCUUUAAUUGGUAGGGCUGCUGUGAUUUUCAAAUGAUGGUUUGUGUUUGUAAAGUUUCUGUUUAUUUGUGUGUUGCUUAUUUGUUUCUUUUGCAUUACUUCAUUUUGUAGCUGAAAUUAAUAUAUGAAAAUAAACUUUUGGUAUUUUAUCUAC